UACGAAGGGGGCUAGCGUUGCUCGGAAUUACUGGGCGUAAAGCGCACGUAGGCGGCUUUCUAAGUCGGGGGUGAAAUCCUGGAGCUCAACUCCAGAACUGCCUUCGAUACUGGAGAGCUUGAGUCCGAGAGAGGUGAGUGGAACUGCGAGUGUAGAGGUGAAAUUCGUAGAUAUUCGCAAGAACACCAGUGGCGAAGGCGGCUCACUGGCCCGGUACUGACGCUGAGGUGCGAAAGCGUGGGGAGCAAACAGG
rnacentral:rRNA from 1 species